GACAACGGCUGGCGGCGUGCUUAACACAUGCAAGUCGAACGGGAGUAUUGAAGAAGCUUGCUUUAGAGAUACUUUAGUGGCGGACGGGUGAGUAACGCGUGAGGAGCUGUCCGAUGCAGGGGGACAACAGUUGGAAACGACUGCUAAUACCCCAUAAGCCGAGAGGUAAAAGGAUUUAUCCGGCAAUGGAGGUACUCGCGUCCUAUCAGCUAGUAGGUGAGGUAACGGCUCACCUAGGCGAAGACGGGUAGCCGGCCUGAGAGGGCGAACGGCCACACUGGAACUGAGAUACGGUCCAGACUCCUACGGGAGGCAGCAGUGGGGAAUAUUGGGCAAUGGGGGGAACCCUGACCCAGCGACGCCGCGUGGGUGAAGAAAUCCUUCGGGAUGUAAAGCCCUGUUGUAUGGGAAGAGCGGAAGACGGUACCAUACGAGGAAGCCCCGGCAAACUACGUG
rnacentral:rRNA from 1 species